rnacentral:rRNA from 1 species
ACAUGCAGUCGAGCGGACUUGAAGAGAAGCUUGCUUCUCCGAUAGUUAGCGGCGGACGGGUGAGUAACACGUAGGCAACCUGCCCUCAAGCUUGGGACAACUACCGGAAACGGUAGCUAAUACCGAAUAGUUGUUUUCUUCUCCUGAAGAAAACUGGAAAGACGGAGCAAUCUGUCACUUGGGGAUGGGCCUGCGGCGCAUUAGCUAGUUGGUGGGGUAACGGCUCACCAAGGCGACGAUGCGUAGCCGACCUGAGAGGGUGAUCGGCCACACUGGGACUGAGACACGGCCCAGACUCCUACGGGAGGCAGCAGUAGGGAAUCUUCCGCAAUGGGCGAAAGCCUGACGGAGCAAUGCCGCGUGAGUGAUGAAGGUUUUCGGAUCGUAAAGCUCUGUUGCCAGGGAAGAACGCUUGGGAGAGUAACUGCUCUCAAGGUGACGGUACCUGAGAAGAAAGCCCCGGCUAACUACGUGCCAGCAGCCGCGGUAAUACGUAGGGGGCAAGCGUUGUCCGGAAUUAUUGGGCGUAAAGCGCGCGCAGGCGGUCAUUUAAGUCUGGUGUUUAAUCCCGGGGCUCAACCCCGGAUCGCACUGGAGACUGGGUGACUUGAGUGCAGAAGAGGAGAGUGGAAUUCCACGUGUAGCGGUGAAAUGCGUAGAUAUGUGGAGGAACACCAGUGGCGAAGGCGACUCUCUGGGCUGUAACUGACGCUGAGGCGCGAAAGCGUGGGGAGCAAACAGGAUUAGAUACCCUGGUAGUCCACGCCGUAUACGAUGAGUGCUAGGUGUUAGGGGUUUCGAUACCCUUGGUGCCGAAAUUAACACAUUAAGCACUCCGCCUGGGGAGUACGGUCGCAAGACUGAAACUCAAAGGAAUUGACGGGGACCCCGCACAAGCAGUGGAGUAUGUGGUUUAAUUCGAAGCAACGCGAAGAACCUUACCAGGUCUUGACAUCCCUCUGACCGGUACAGAGAUGUACCUUUCCUUCGGGACAGAGGAGACAGGUGGUGCAUGGUUGUCGUCAGCUCGUGUCGUGAGAUGUUGGGUUAAGUCCCGCAACGAGCGCAACC